rnacentral:rRNA from 1 species
CGCCUCUUGAUUAAACCAUAAGAGGUCUAGCCUGCCCAGUGACAUUGUUUAACGGCCGCGGUAUCCUAACCGUGCGAAGGUAGCGUAAUCACUUGUCCUUUAAAUGAGGACUAGUAUGAAUGGCCCCACGAAAGCUAUACUGUCUCCUUUUUCUAAUCAGUUAAACUAAUCUUCCCGUGAAGAAGCGGGAAUAAAUAUAUAAGACGAGAAGACCCUAUGGAGCUUUAAACAACUGAAACACUUGUAUUUCUCAUUAUAUUCCAGAAACCUACACUUAAUCCCACAUUUUGUUUCUAGUUUUAGGUUGGGGUGACCACGGAGAAAAAAUUAACCUCCACGCUGAAAGAGCCUAACCUCUAAACAAAAAGCUACACCUUUAAGUAUUAACACAUUAACAUAAAUUGACCCAAUUAAUUGAUCAACGAACCAAGUUACCCUAGGGAUAACAGCGCAAUCCAUUUCAAGAGCUCUUAUCGACAAAUGGGUUUACGACCUCGAUGUUGGAUCAGGGUAUCCUAGUGGUGCAGCCGCUACUAAUGGUUCGUUUGUUCAACGAUUAAAACCCU